UACGUAGGCAGCAAGCGUUGUUCGGAAUUACUGGGCGUAAAGAGUGUGUAGGCGGUGUUCCAAGUCUGGUGUGAAAUCUCCCGGCUUAACUGGGAGGGUGCAUUAGAAACUGGAAUGCUAGAGGAUGGGAGAGGUAAGCGGAAUUCCUGGUGUAGCGGUGAAAUGCGUAGAUAUCAGGAGGAACACCUGUGGUGUUAGACAGCUUACUGGACCAUUUCUGACGCUGAGACACGAAAGCGUGGGGAGCGAACAGG
rnacentral:rRNA from 1 species